UCCUUGGUGGUUCAGUGGUAGAAUUCUUGCCUUCCACGUGGGAGACCUGGGUUCAAUUUCUAGCCAAUGCA
rnacentral:tRNA from 1 species